AGCCUACUUAAUAAAUAAGUAAAUAAAUAAAUAUAGAUAGAUAGAUAGCUAUACAGAUACUAAAUUUCCUAGCCUCCUUUCCAGCUAUGUGGCUAAGUUUUGAUGAGAUAUAAGUAUGAUGGUGUAUCUGACUUCUAGAAAGUAUCCUUAAGGGAAAAGGCAUGGCUUCUUCCUUUCUACCUUCUUCAUGCUAGCUAAAGAGCACCUUUGGUGAUGUGAUAACUGGAGUUAGAGCAGCCAUCUUGAAACAUGAGAGUGAAGUCACACUUUGAGGACGGCAGAUGCAGCAGCCCAACUUCCAAGGCGUGUAGAAGCCAGCUGCCAUGUUGUAAGCACACUCAAGCAACCCUAUGGAGGAUGACUGGUGGUGAGAAGCUAAAGGCUUAUUGCCAACAGCUGGAACCAACCUGCAGUCCCAGUCAAGCUUUCAAAUGACCAGAGCUCCAUCUGAUAUCCUGACUGCAAUCUCAUGAUUCUCAAGCCAGAAGCACCCCGCUAAGUUACUCCUGAAUUCCUGAUGCACAGAAAGUGUGAGAUAAUAAAUGUUUAUUGUUGUUUUAA